AUACGUAGGGGGCGAGCGUUGUCCGGAAUGAUUGGGCGUAAAGGGCGCGUAGGCGGCCCGGUAAGUCUGGAGUGAAAGUCCUGUUUUUAAGAUGGGAAUUGCUUUGGAUACUGUCGGGCUUGAGUGCAGGAGAGGUAAGUGGAAUUCCCAGUGUAGCGGUGAAAUGCGUAGAGAUUGGGAGGAACACCAGUGGCGAAGGCGACUUACUGGACUGUAACUGACGCUGAGGCGCGAAAGUGUGGGGAGCAAACAGGAUUAGAUACCCUGGUAGUCCACACUGUAAACGAUGAAUGCUAGGUGUAGGGGGUAUCGACCCCUCCUGUGCCGCAGUCAACACAAUAAGCAUUCCGCCUGGGGAGUACGGCCGCAGGGUUGAAACUCAAAGGAAUUGACGGGG
rnacentral:rRNA from 1 species